GUGAGUAACACGUGAGUAACCUGCCCCUGACUCUGGAAUAACCGUGGGAAACGACGGCUAAUACCGGAUAUGAGACGUCCACGCAUGUGAGCGUCUGGAAAGAUUUAUCGGUCUGGGAUGGACUCGCGGCCUAUCAGCUUGUUGGUGGGGUAAUGGCCCACCAAGGCGACGACGGGUAGCCGGCCUGAGAGGGCGACCGGCCACACUGGGACUGAGAUACGGCCCAGACUCCUACGGGAGGCAGCAGUGGGGAAUAUUGCACAAUGGGCGCAACUGAUGCAGCGACGCCGCGUGGGGGAUGAAGGCCUUCGGGUUGUAAACCCUUUCAGCAGGGAAGAAGCGAAAGUGACGGUACCUGCAGAAGAAGCGCCGGCUAACUACGUGCCAGCAGCCGCGGUAAUACGUAGGGCGCAAGCGUUGUCCGGAAUUAUUGGGCGUAAAGAGCUCGUAGGCGGUUUUUCGCGUCUGCUGUGAAAACCCGAGGCUCAACCUCGGGCUUGCAGUGGGUACGGGCAGACUAGAGUGCGGUAGGGGUGACUGGAAUUCCUGGUGUAGCGGUGGAAUGCGCAGAUAUCAGGAGGAACACCGAUGGCGAAGGCAGGUCACUGGGCCGCAACUGACGCUGAGGAGCGAAAGCAUGGGGGAGCGAACAGGAUUAGAUACCCUGGUAGUCCAUGCCGUAAACGUUGGGCACUAGGUGUGGGGCUCAUUCCACGAGUUCCGUGCCGCAGCAAACGCAUUAAGUGCCCCGCCUGGGGAGUACGGCCGCAAGGCUAAAACUCAAAGGAAUUGACGGGGGCCCGCACAAGCGGCGGAGCAUGCGGAUUAAUUCGAUGCAACGCGAAGAACCUUACCAAGGCUUGACAUACACCGGAAAAGUGCAGAGAUGUGCUCCCCGCAAGGUCGGUGUACAGGUGGUGCAUGGUUGUCGUCAGCUCGUGUCGUGAGAUGUUGGGUUAAGUCCCGCAACGAGCGCAACCCUCGUCCUAUGUUGCCAGCACGUUAUGGUGGGGACUCAUAGGAGACUGCCGGGGUCAACUCGGAGGAAGGUGGGGAUGACGUCAAAUCAUCAUGCCCCUUAUGUCUUGGGCUUCACGCAUGCUACAAUGGCCGGUACAAAGGGCUGCGAUACCGCAAGGUGGAGCGAAUCCCAAAAAGCCGGUCUCAGUUCGGAUUGGGGUCUGCAACUCGACCCCAUGAAGUCGGAGUCGCUAGUAAUCGCAGAUCAGCAACGCUGCGGUGAAUACGUUCCCGGGCCUUGUACACACCGC
rnacentral:rRNA from 1 species